rnacentral:tRNA from 1 species
GGGACAUUAGUGAUAAUGGCAGCACCUCUCAUUUGCAAUGAGAAGGCGACGGAUCGUAACCGUCAUGUUCCA